ACAAACAUUCCACAUAACAGACGGACAUGACCACCAAAACUCCCUCUGCAUAGUGCCUGGCCCACGAAGGGACUUACCCAGGUCUUUCAUACAUAACAUGGGCUAUUAGGGUCGCCUUGGUCCAUCCACAUCCACAAUAAAUAAUGCAAUGCGUCAUAUUCGUGUAACUAGUGCAAUCAACCUAUUACAUAUAAACAUGAUGCGUGAACAUGCUUUAGGCAUUUGAUUUCGUAAAAUAAAAGAUUAAGUUUAGUUCUACUCACCUCUGGCAGACGCUGAACUGAC
rnacentral:lncRNA from 1 species